rnacentral:rRNA from 1 species
CUCCGUGGUUAAUACCCACGGACGAUGACAUUAGCUGCAGAAUAAGCACCGGCUAACUCUGUGCCAGCAGCCGCGGUAAUACAGAGGGUGCAAGCGUUAAUCGGAAUUACUGGGCGUAAAGCGAGCGUAGGUGGCUUGAUAAGUCAGAUGUGAAAUCCCCGGGCUUAACCUGGGAACUGCAUCUGAAACUGUUCGGCUAGAGUAGGUGAGAGGGAAGUAGAAUUCCAGGUGUAGCGGUGAAAUGCGUAGAGAUCUGGAGGAAUACCGAUGGCGAAGGCAGCUUCCUGGCAUCAUACUGACACUGAGGUUCGAAAGCGUGGGUAGCAAACAGGAUUAGAUACCCUGGUAGUCCACGCCGUAAACGAUGUC